AAACCGGAAAAUCGGUUAGGGUUU
rnacentral:snRNA from 1 species